GGCCCGGUGGUGGACGGUCCACGCCUGCGUUACUUGUUACGAUUGGGCGUAGUUCUGCUGCAGGAGACGCUCGUUCGAUUCGAGCCCGGGUCA